GAUGAACGCUGGCGGCGUGCCUAAUACAUGCAAGUCGAGCGAACAGAUGAGGAGCUUGCUCCUCUGACGUUAGCGGCGGACGGGUGAGUAACACGUGGAUAACCUACCUAUAAGACUGGGAUAACUUCGGGAAACCGGAGCUAAUACCGGAUAAUAUAUUGAACCGCAUGGUUCAAUAGUGAAAGACGGUUUUGCUGUCACUUAUAGAUGGAUCCGCGCCGCAUUAGCUAGUUGGUAAGGUAACGGCCUACCAAGGCAACGAUGCGUAGCCGACCUGAGAGGGUGAUCGGCCACACUGGAACUGAGACACGGUCCAGACUCCUACGGGAGGCAGCAGUAGGGAAUCUUCCGCAAUGGGCGAAAGCUUGACGGAGCAACGCCGCGUGAGUGAUGAAGGUCUUCGGAUCGUAAAACUCUGUUAUUAGGGAAGAACAAAUGUGUAAGUAACUAUGCACGUCUUGACGGUACCUAAUCAGAAAGCCACGGCUAACUACGUG
rnacentral:rRNA from 1 species